AAUAUUUCUUGAAUUUUCGAGUACUUUCUCUUAUAUGUGGACCCAUGUUUUUUUUUUUCAAUGUAUGCAUGGCAUCGCUGGGAGCAACGCAAAGCACAAACACAAAGUAGGCUGGCCAAAGAUGCAGCUGUAGAUGGAGAUGGAGGUGCAUCAGUGGGUUCGGUCUCCAAGCGGCUGAGAUAAGAACUGCGGCGACAUUGUCCACGGCAUCGAUUUGCUCGUUAGCUGAUGAGUAGCACAUGGCACCCGGCACCGCUCCUCGCAGCGAUCCGUCAGAUGAAAGUUGAGCGUCAUUGGCAAAUACCGACGGCAAAACGGAUCGGCAGAAGUAGGAGUAGCAGAACGAGCUGGUCGAAACGCCAUUUUGGCGGAGCCCCGCCUUUGCACACACAGAUACACACGCACACACUGCCACUCGCAUUCGCAUGUAAUUGAAGUCGUUUAUGAGAGGCUUCUGGGGUGGUGGGGGGUAGGUGCAACAUCUGCAGUGGCAGGCAAGU
ensembl:ncRNA lncRNA:CR44421 long non-coding RNA:CR44421